AUUGUUUCUCAGCCUUUUGGCUAAGAUCAAGUGUAAUAUCUGUUCUUAUCAAUUUAAUAUCUGAUAUGUCCUCUAUCUGAGGACAACAUAUUAAAUGGAUUUUUGGAGCAGUGAGAUGGAAUAGGAUCUUGCUCCAUCCACUCCAUGCAUCUACCUGGUAUUGCAGUACUUCCAGGAAUGGUGCACCCCCC
rnacentral:snRNA from 1 species